UGGGGAAAUGCCAGAGGGGAUUUGACAGCUGGGCCAGGUGUUCCAGGACAGCACUUUCCAAAAGAUUUUCCAUCCAAACUUCCAGCAAGAAGUAGAUCUUCCAUCGUUAUCCAGAGCAUAUCUAUGCAUUCAGAUGAAGAAAACAACACUUUGACAUGCAUUAUCUCCCAACACCAACCUCAACCCAGCCCUGGAAAGUGAGCAGAGCCAGCAGCAUUUCCAGCCCCACCUCUGGAGGAAGGAGAGGAACCUGAGACUCUUGGGUGACCUGAGGCGUCUCUGGCAGCACCAGCAAAAGAGCCUGGCCCUGGUCGCCCAGCACAGGUUCUCAGUCCCUCCUGACUGCCACUGCUCCCUCAACACCAAAGCACAGGGUCCCGAGAUGUUGGGAGAGGUCGGAGAUGCUGGGCUGGGAGAGGACCCGGGGCCUGUCAGAAGCCAUGACAAGAUGCACUCACUGCUCGGGAGGAAGCUACUGGCCUCUGAGUGAAAUCUGUAAGUAUGAACUCUGGAGAUGUAUCGUACAACAUGGAGUCUACACUUAAUAAAUGUAUACUGGAAAAUUGCUAAGAUUAGAUCUUCCAUGUUCUCACUACAAAAGCAUAAGUAUGGGAGGUGACGGACGUGUGUGUCAGCUUGAUUUAAUCAUUUUGCAAUGUGGCAAAGCAUCGCAUUGUAGGUGGUAAAUACAUACAGUUUUGUCAAUUAUACCUUCAAGAAGCUGGGGUGGUUGGUGUGUAUGUGUGACUGUGCGAUAUGAGGUCCGUGAGGUGCUGAACAUGGUGCAUUAAACAGCAUUUUCAUUCUUA